AUAAAAACUUUAUCAACCAGCUCCCUUAUUCCAUGGGCCUGGUGUGCAAUGGCUGCAAACAGCAUUCUCGUUGGUAGUGUAUGCAACCUGUUCCUUGUAUGGGUUGCUCUAAGGGACCUUGGAGGCAGUC
ensembl:snoRNA SNORA70 Small nucleolar RNA SNORA70